rnacentral:rRNA from 1 species
UACGGAGGAUGCAAGCGUUAUCCGGAAUUAUUGGGCGUAAAGCGUCCGCAGGCGGCACUUCAAGUCUGUCGUCAAAGACCGGGGCUUAACCCUGGAAAGGCGAUGGAAACUGAAAGGCUAGAGAGAGGUAGGGGUAGAGGGAAUUCCCAGUGUAGCGGUGAAAUGCGUAGAGAUUGGGAAGAACAUCGGUGGCGAAAGCGCUCUACUGGACCGCAUCUGACGCUCAGGGACGAAAGCGAGGGGAGCGAAUGGG